UACGUAGGUGGCGAGCGUCGUCCGGAUUUAUUGGGUUUAAAGGGUGCGUAGGCGUCCCUUCAAGUUUUAGGUGAAAUGCCCAAGCUCAACUUGGGAGCUGCCUGAAAAACUGCAGGGAUUGAGUACAGAUGAGGUAGGCGGAAUUGACGGUGUAGCGGUGAAAUGCAUAGAUAUCGUCAGGAACACCGAUAGCGAAGGCAGCUUACUAAGUUGUAACUGACGCUGAGGCACGAAAGUGUGGGGAUUAAACAGG
rnacentral:rRNA from 1 species